rnacentral:rRNA from 1 species
CCUACGGGUGGCUGCAGUAGGGAAUCUUCCACAAUGGGCGAAAGCCUGAUGCAGCAACGUCGCGUGAGUGAAGAAUGCCUUCUGAUCGUUAAACUCCUUUUUUCAAGAAGUAAAUCCGUGCGCGUAACUGUUCUCUCUUCUACGGUCUCUAAACAGAACGCCUCGGCUAAUUACGUCCCCCCAGCUGCGGUAAUACGUCGGUGGCAAGCGUUAUCCGGAUUGAUUUGGCGUGAAGGGAACGCAUGCGGUGUUUUAAUUCUGAUGUGAAAGCGUUCGGCUUAACCGGAGUAGUGCAUUGGAAACUGGGAGACUUGAGUGCAGAAGAGGAGAGUGGAAUUCCAUGUGUAGCGGUGAAAUGCGUAGAUAUCUGGAAGAACACCAGUGGCGAAAGCAGCUCUCUAGUCUGUAACUGACGCUGAGGUUCGAAAGCGUGGGUAGCAAACAGGAUUAGAUACCCGGGUAGUC